rnacentral:rRNA from 1 species
ACCUGCCCUAUGAUAUUUAUUAAAUGGCCGCGAUAUUUUGAUCGUGCAAAGGUAGCAUAAUCAUUAGUUUUUUAAUUAAGAACUGGAAUGAAAGGUUGAACGAGAAAAAAACUGUCUCAAUUUAAUUUUUUUUAGAAUUUUAUUUUUAAGUAAGAAAGCUUAAAUAUUUUUAAAAGACGAGAAGACCCUAUAGAGUUUAAUAUUUAUAAAAAUUUUAAAAAAAAUUUAGUAUUUAAUUUUUUAUAAAUUUAUAAAUAUUUAGUUGGGGUGAUUAAAAAAUUAAAAUAACUUUUUUAAAAUUUUAACACUUAAUAUAUGAAAUAUUGAUCCAUAUUUUAUGAUUAAAG